AGGAAAGGGAGGGAUUCGC
rnacentral:tRNA from 1 species